AGUGAACGCUGGCGGUAGGCCUAACACAUGCAAGUCGAACGGCAGCACAGUAAGAGCUUGCUCUUACGGGUGGCGAGUGGCGGACGGGUGAGGAAUACAUCGGAAUCUACUUUUUCGUGGGGGAUAACGUAGGGAAACUUACGCUAAUACAGCAUACGACCUACGGGUGAAAGCAGGGGAUCUUCGGACCUUGCGCGAUUGAAUGAGCCGAUGUCGGAUUAGCUAGUUGGCGGGGUAAAGGCCAACCAAGGCGGCGAUCCGUAGCUGGUCUGAGAGGAUGAUCGGCGACACUGGAACUGAGACACGGUCCAGACUCCUACGGGAGGCAGCAGUGGGGAAUAUUGGACAAUGGGCGCAAGCCUGAUCCAGCCAUACCGCGUGGGUGAAGAAGGCCUUCGGGUUGUAAAGCCCUUUUGUUGGGAAAGAAAAGCAGCAGGUUAAUACCCCGCUGUUCUGACGGUACCCAAAGAAUAAGCACCGGCUAACUUCGUG
rnacentral:rRNA from 1 species